UACAGAGGGUGCAAGCGUUGUUCGGAAUUAUUGGGCGUAAAGCGCGUGUAGGCGGCUUUGCAAGUCGGGUGUGAAAUCCCCAGGCUUAACCUGGGAACUGCAUUCGAGACUGCAUUGCUAGAGUAUGGGAGAGGGAAGUGGAAUUUCCGGUGUAGCGGUGAAAUGCGUAGAUAUCGGAAGGAACAUCAGUGGCGAAAGCGACUUCCUGGACCAAUACUGACGCUCAUGUGCGAAAGCGUGGGGAGCAAACAGG
rnacentral:rRNA from 1 species